rnacentral:lncRNA from 1 species
UUAGAAAAAAUAUACUCUGUUUAGCAAAAAAUAACCUUUACUUCAGUAGAAAUUGCUAAGGCAACCUAAAAUGUAAACAUGUUCUGCCCAAUGCCUCCUAGCUAUUGCUUAAAGAUAUAAAAAUAAAUCAGACCCUGAGACUUCUCAGAGGGAACCUGAACAUUGCUUGAGGAGUUUCUUUUCUCAUCGCCAGCCCAGGACAUCUCCCCUUCCUACCCUGCAUCAACAUCGACUGCAGCUGGUCUGCGGCAGAUACCUAUUUAGAAUAUCAACCACUGCCAUUGAUCUCUAGGGGAAGUAUCUUUAAAGGGUGUCAUAAAAUUAUAGUUAUUCAGGAGCACAAAUCCACAACUCUGUGAAGUUAAGAUGAAGAUCACGUUGACACUAGCUCCCUGUUGCUCCCAGCCUUCAGAAAGCACAAGGCUGGCACUUGUGGAUCCUCCAGGAGAGAUUUCCCCAGGAGCUCGCAGGCUCCCUCUGCUGGACCUCGGCCCAGUGACGCUCGGUCUAUCCCUAUCCAAGUCCUGAGAAUCCAACUGAGCAAAGAAUCAUUGCUGCUGAGAUCCCAUGUUCAGGUCCCCUCCAGUUAACUGACAUAUAUCUCUGAUCCAUUUUCAUUCCCCGAACAUUAACAACAAGCAUUAUAUAAGAAUGAACACCACUGCAAUAAGAUUGCAAAAAAUAUAGAACUUUUAAUCCAAAAUAAAGAGCUCUGAAAAAUUGUGCCUUGUAGAUUCUUUAUAAUGCUCUUACUGUAUAGGGUGUUAAUAAAACUAAAUAAGGUGCCUCAUUUCUUUGAACACCCACACUCUGCUCUUGAGUGCAUCCAUAUCUUCCUCUAAUAAAUCUUUCUCAUGUCUCUUUUUAAAUAAAUAAAUAAAUAAAACUAAGCUUUCUAGUAAAUGAUGUAAAUUGAUGCAUUUUCUCCAUAUGAAAUGUUUACAAUAUUUUCUAAUUUUCAUGACACUUUAAAGAAUUCCAAUUUUUAAAUCAUAUUUACUUGUGGUUUC